AAAUAGAGUGUCAAAGCACGGCAGAUCUAAUUUUCUAUGCCACCGAAUACAUUAGCAUGGGAUAAUGGAAUAAGGACCUGAUCCUCUAUUUUCAGAUUGGUUUAUGGCAGGCGAAGGACUAGGGUAGAUUGAUUAAUAG
rnacentral:rRNA from 1 species